UGGGGAAUAUUGGACAAUGGGCGAAAGCCUGAUCCAGCCAUGCCGCGUGUGUGAAGAAGGUCUUCGGAUUGUAAAGCACUUUAAGUUGGGAGGAAGGGCAUUAACCUAAUACGUUAGUGUUUUGACGUUACCGACAGAAUAAGCACCGGCUAACUCUGUGCCAGCAGCCGCGGUAAUACAGAGGGUGCAAGCGUUAAUCGGAAUUACUGGGCGUAAAGCGCGCGUAGGUGGUUUGUUAAUUUGGAUGUGAAAUCCCCGGGCUCAACCUUGGAACUGCAUUCAAAACUGACUGACUAGAGUAUGGUAGAGGGUGGUGGAAUUUCCUGUGUAGCGGUGAAAUGCGUAGAUAUAGGAAGGAACACCAGUGGCGAAGGCGACCACCUGGACUAA
rnacentral:rRNA from 1 species